CAGCAGCCGCGGUAAUACAGAGGGUGCGAGCGUUAAUCGGAUUUACUGGGCGUAAAGCGUGCGUAGGCGGCUUCUUAAGUCGGAUGUGAAAUCCCUGAGCUUAACUUAGGAAUUGCAUUCGAUACUGGGAAGCUAGAGUAUGGGAGAGGAUGGUAGAAUUCCAGGUGUAGCGGUGAAAUGCGUAGAGAUCUGGAGGAAUACCGAUGGCGAAGGCAGCCAUCUGGCCUAAUACUGACGCUGAGGUACGAAAGCAUGGGGAGCAAACAGGAUUAGAUACCCCUGUAGUCCCUGUCUCUUUACA
rnacentral:rRNA from 1 species